CCGAGAUAUUGUCAGAUUUUUCAGUUUGUUUUUGGAUAAUUUCGCGACGAGAUUGCCCAGAGAGGUGGAGAGACGAUUUUUCGAAAAAGGGGAAAAAUUUUGCGAAGUGUGAGGUGAAAAAAGCUUCGGUUUUUUGGAGAUCUAGAUUUUAUUUUCUUGUGAAAACAUAGAAUCAGAUGCCAUGGCUUCAAGCCUACAAUACGCUUCAUGGAUUUUAAUCUUGGUAUUAAUUAUAUCAAUAAACAACAACAACGCAACAGAAAAUGUUAACAAUUCGUCACUACACUACGAAUACGUUCUUCUUGAA